CAGCUGCCUUCAUAAUGCCUGGGUCGGAGAGCCUCCGCGAAGCCUGGGGAGGGCGGGGCAGGGCCGUCAGCUGCCCUUACCCGACACUUACAGACGCUGAGCACCGGGUCACAUACCGCUGGGGGGCGAGCCCAGACUGAGCCCCGAUGUGAGAGGGACUCAACGGUGUCUUCGCCGACGCCCUCGGAGAGACCCUCCGCCGGGUUGGGGUCCGGAGCGACUGCGCUCCACAGCCCGGCUUCUGUGACGACUGCCGGCCCGCGGCCGCCACCGACAGCUUCCGGGUCGAUGUCGGCGUAUCGGGGCAUGCUGGGAGAGCUACCGCGCGCCCCGAGGCGCGGCGCAGCGCGGCGCCCCCUGGUGGCGAGUAGUAUUCCAUUGUAUGGAUAUGUCAUCAUGUGCUUAUUCAUACACCUGUUGAUGGACGUUGGAUUUUUUAAUGUUUUUUAAUGUUUACAACUAUGAAAUAAAACUGCCGUGAACUUU